rnacentral:rRNA from 1 species
UACGGGAGGCAGCAGUGGAGAAUAUUGCACAAUGGGCGCAAGCCUGAUGCAGCCAUGCCGCGUGUAUGAAGAAGGCCUUCGGGUUGUAAAGUACUUUCAGUCGUGAGGAAGGUGUUAAGGUUAAUAACCUUAGCAAUUGACGUUAGCGACAGAAGAAGCACCGGCUAACUCCGUGCCAGCAGCCGCGGUAAUACGGAGGGUGCGAGCGUUAAUCGGAAUUACUGGGCGUAAAGGGCACGCAGGCGGUUAAUUAAGUUGGAUGUGAAAUCCCCGGGCUUAACCUGGGAAUGGCAUUCAAGACUGGUUAGCUAGAGUCUUGUAGAGGGGGUAGAAUUCCAUGUGUAGCGGUGAAAUGCGUAGAGAUGUGGAGGAAUACCGGUGGCGAAGGCGGCCCCUGGGACAAAGACUGACGCUCAUGUGCGAAAGCGUGGGGAGCAAACAGGGAUUAGGAUACC